CCCGGGUGCAUUGUAGUUGCAUUGCACUUUUGCGUUCGAUAACACGGUGCAAUACUUCUGCAAUGCAAGCCAGG
rnacentral:pre_miRNA from 11 species